rnacentral:ncRNA from 1 species
AUAGGGCAAACCCGGUGAAAACCGGCGACGCAAAGCGAAAGGGCCUGAUCUUUAGGAGAAAUGGCAGCCAGUUGC